rnacentral:rRNA from 1 species
GACGAACGCUGGCGGCGUGCUUAACACAUGCAAGUCGAGCGGUAAGGCCCUUUUGGGGGUACACGAGCGGCGAACGGGUGAGUAACACGUGGGUGACCUGCCCUCAGCUCUGGGAUAAGCCUGGGAAACUGGGUCUAAUACUGGAUAUGACCUUUCCUCGCAUGGGGGUUGGGUGGAAAGUUUUUCGGCUGGGGAUGGGCCCGCGGCCUAUCAGCUUGUUGGUGGGGUGAUGGCCUACCAAGGGCGACGACGGGUAGCCGGCCUGAGAGGGCGACCGGCCACACUGGGACUGAGACACGGCCCAGACUCCUACGGGAGGCAGCAGUGGGGAAUAUUGCGCAAUGGGCGGAAGCCUGACGCAGCGACGCCGCGUGGGGGAUGACGGCC